rnacentral:rRNA from 1 species
CUACGGGAGGCAGCAGUGGGGAAUAUUGCACAAUGGGGGAAACCCUGAUGCAGCGACGCCGCGUGGAGGAAGAAGGUCUUCGGAUUGUAAACUCCUGUUGUUGAGGAAGAUAAUGACGGUACUCAACAAGGAAGUGACGGCUAACUACGUGCCAGCAGCCGCGGUAAAACGUAGGUCACAAGCGUUGUCCGGAAUUACUGGGUGUAAAGGGAGCGCAGGCGGGAGAACAAGUUGGAAGUGAAAUCCAUGGGCUCAACCCAUGAACUGCUUUCAAAACUGUUUUUCUUGAGUAGUGCAGAGGUAGGCGGAAUUCCCGGUGUAGCGGUGGAAUGCGUAGAUAUCGGGAGGAACACCAGUGGCGAAGGCGGCCUACUGGGCACCAACUGACGCUGAGGCUCGAAAGUGUGGGUAGCAAACAGGAUUAGAUACCCUGGUAGUCCACACCGUAAACGAUGAUUACUAGGUGUUGGAGGAUUGACCCCUUCAGUGCCGCAGUUAACACAAUAAGUAAUCCACCUGGGGAGUACGACCGCAAGGUUGCAACUCAAAGGAAUUGACGG